rfam:Salmo salar isolate Sally breed double haploid chromosome ssa23, whole genome shotgun sequence.
UGCAUUCACUACUGUAAGUCGCUCUGGAUAAGAGCGUCUGCUAAAUGGCAAAAU